rnacentral:lncRNA from 1 species
AACACACACACAUGUUCACACAGACACACACAUGUGUGGGAUAAGAGGCAGAGCUAGAGUCCAUUUUCCAGGUCAGACUUGGGACUCCAAGCCUGACUUUGGAGUGAUUCAAAUCACCUUCCACCUAUUUUGCUGCUUGUUCAGUUCAGUACACGUUAAGAAUGGCCCCCAACCAACAGGGAACUGGUUUGGUUAUCUUCCUUUGCCUUUCAAACUCACCCAAGCAAAGAUAAAAGUAAGCAUGUCUUCACAAGCAUCCUCUUAAUGAUUCACAGUUUUGUUUAUUCUGCUGAGCUCAAGUCAGAUGUAACUUGACAUUUAUAUUCCCAUAUACCUCCUUUCUAUGUGUGUGGGUAUUUUAUUUCAUUUUUCAGUAUAUCUAAAUGGUUCUUCUCAUUCUGCCAGAGUGAAUCUAGUUACAUACGCUUGCUGCAAAAAGGAAGUUUCCAAAUCUGGAGUGUAAUAUUCAAUGGUCUUUUCAGAAGAAAGGCACGUUACUCUCUGUGACAGUAACAUUGCUUCAUAUCCAGACCCAAGUCACAUGAAGGAAUUUUCUUCUAGAAUCCUUAUUUACCAAUACCAAUUUUAAAGAAACAAAAUAACUCCAAAAGAUGAGCUUCUAAGGAAAAGACUGGAUACUUAUGUUUUCUCUUUACAGAGAAGCCAUUUCCUAUCUAAUGAUUCUGGAUUAAUUUCUGCAAAUUAGUAUCAGUGUGUAGCACCAGUCUCUCCUUUGCAAAUCUUAUACACCAAUUUUACAAACUUUACAAAUCUUGACCAAUAAAAGCCACAGAUUGUCAAAUGAUAGUUAAAAUACAAGGUUAUGUUUGAAAGUCCAGUUCCACAUAUUCUCCCAACAUAUUCUUUUUAUCAGUAAUAAUAUAGGUUCUCACUGACCUGAUUCGGCAGCCUCUGAACAUGCCAGUGUCUACAAGAUAAGGGCAAACCAAGGUUGUUUUAAUUCCAUCCUUUUCAGCAGCCUUUAGUUCAUGGCUCAGGGAUUCAUGAAAACCCACAACUCCAAAUUUACUGGCACAGUAAUCCUGAGUUAAAGAGGGGAGAAAGCAGAAAUACUAAGCAUAUGCCCCUAUCUCCAACCAAACUAAAGCUUCCCUGGUCCUAUUACCAUGUUUAGAUGUCUAAUACAUAAGGUUACAGGUGACUACACAAAGAAAAGGAAAUCAUUUUAAAAGACAGAUACCUGGCUGGGCAUAGUGGCUCAUGCCUGUAAUCCUAGCACUUUGGGAGGCCGAGGUGGCUGGAUCACUUAAGGUCAGGAGCUCGAGACCAGCCUGGCCAAAAUGGUGAAACCCCGCCUCUACUAAAAAUACAAAAAUUAGCUGGGCAUGGUGGGCCUGUGCCUGUAGUCCCAGCUACUCAGGAGGCUGAGGCAGGAGAAUUGCUUGAACCUGGGAGGUGGAGGUUGCAGUGAGCCAAGAUCACACCACUGCACUCCAGCCUGGGUGACAGAGUGAGACUCUGUCUCAAAAAAAAAAAAACAAAAACAAAAACAAAAACAAAAACAAAAAAAAAACACAAACCAGAUACCUGAUGUGGUUCAGUGCAGAAAUAAUAUUUUCAAAGCAACAGCAGAAACAGAUGAAUACUUUUUGUCACAUCAACUAAGUAUCAUAUUACUUUGGGGAAGUUACCAUAAAGGAUUCUAUGAAAGCUCACAAGCUGAAGUUAAAAUGGAGAGAGGUUCACUUUGAAGUGUCUGGAAAAUUUACAAAUGGUCUCUUGUUCAGUAAAGGAGAAAGAAAAACCAGUUUGUUUAAAUUAAUGCAAGAAGAAUAAAGGCAAAUCUAGCUUAGGCUAUAAAUUGUUAUGAUUUGACUUUCUUUGUAAGGCGAAGUUAAAAUGAAAAUGAUAAUCAUGCCUUGUAAUCUUAAACUAGAACUUAACCUAAAGGCACAGAAUAUAGAAAAAAAGUUAUUGUCCAUGGCCCAACUUCAGAAAUGGAAUCCCUUGAUAUAGGUGCUAUUUAAAUAAUGUGUCCUUUUGCAUAUUUGCAUGGAGUGAUGUUUUCAGUUUUACAGGCAUGCAGAGGACAAACAGGAUAGAACAACAUAUAUACUCAUACUUUAUAAUCUGAAUAUCGUGAAGAACAGGGUUUGAUGAAAUCCAGUUCUACAAUUCUACAAACUUACAAUGCAGGAUACCUGACCGCCUCAUCUGAUGGGCUAAUUAAUACAAGAUAGCUCAGUUUUGGCAAGGUGACCACAACCGAAUGUGAACCUCUGGCCUCAUUCUUCUGUUCCCCACAGCUUUCCAUGGUUCCAUUCUUGGCCCUGUGCCUCCUGCCAUCGUCAAGUGAAGCUGCUAAUGAAAAUGGGCACACUGAGGGCUGGCCCAUCUACUUUUCUUGUCGCUGCUGCUUUGUCAAACUAGUGUAAGAGAUUUUAUGGCAGAAGAGGCAGAAGUCCAUUCCCUUUCUUUGUUUUGUUUUAGAGACAGGGUCUUGCUCUAUCUCCCAGGCUGAAGUGCAGUGGUGCCACCAUAGCUCACUGCAGUCUUGAACACCUGGGCUCGCACGAUUCUCCCACCUCAGCCUCUCAAGUAGCUAGGACUACAGGUGUGCGCCACCACACCUGACAUAGAAUUCCAUUCCAGUGGCUGGCCCUGGGUUCCUGUGGAACAUUCUACAUGCAGCACACAUGCAGAGUGCCUUCGUGCAGCUUUCAUGAAUGGAGGGGCAGCAGGUGCUCUCCUGGAGGUUCUGGUGUACUUAUCACAGGAUAAACAGAUUGAACGAAAGAAAUGCUAUAUAUCUGACAAACCUCAACUCCGGCAGUACUGAACAAUCCCAAGGAACUUGCAACUGUCACAAUAUGACCAUGAUUAAUCUCCAGCAUCGUAGGAAGAAAAGCCUUAGUGGUCUGAAACAAAGUAAGAUUCAAGUUUUAGAACUGAUUUCAUGAAUUUCAUCUAAAACCCAGUCCAGGAUCACAAAACAAACUUUUAUUCACAUGAUGUUUUGUUUCCCAAUUCCUUUAAAAAUAUUUUAUAUUUAUCAAAAAGAUCUUUUAAGUGUCUGGCUAACUUAGCACUGUAUCAUCGGCAUGGCAGGCCUAUUAUAAGUCGUGACCAACAAGACUGUAACUUAAAAGCUUUUGGGGACAGUGUCUAGAGAUAAAAAGAGAGCCAUUGGCAGAAGCUUCUUAAUUACCUUUCAAGUGACAGUUAUCUGCUAAUUUAAAGUACUCCCAAGCCAGGUAUUUGUUUCUGCUCGUGACACUUCAAUGCAGCUAUCUCAUGGUUUAGGAGGGACCACAGCCUACUACAAACAUUGCCUUGUAUUAAUGUGUGCCUUACGGCGAUGUCUACGUAGUAAUAGACCUAUCAAUGAAGAGAUACUCCAGCAGCAUGCUCUGGGAUCCCAAGGCUUAUUACCAAAAUGUACUAGCAGGAGACAAAGUAUUUUAGGAUGUAAAAAACAGGCUAAAUUAUAGAACUAUUUUUGUGAAAAACAUAUCAUAAUGCCAACUAUGCACUGACAAGAACGUGUAUCAUUCUGAACAGUCACAUUCCAACAUGGGUUUCACCGCAGGGACUCUGCCACAGAUGCAAGUGACUGGCCACACAGUGAGGCAGAGAGUGUGGCACAAGUUCCAGGCUGGGGGACCCAGAGGCCCUGAAACUUGUGCCAGAGGUGGCACAAAAUCAGAGGUGGCGCCGAUUUCUUACUCACUAAACUCUUUUCUCUCUAGCUCGCUUGCCUUCAAAAUGCAAGGCUGUAUCAAAAAAAAAAAAAUUACUUCAAAUUGCUUACGAUGAUCUAUUAACUACUCCACCAGGCUCCCAACAGUUUUAUAACCUGCUUCUUAAAAGAAAGCAGCGAAGAGCAAUCUGUCUACUGCUGAGUUAUCUCCUACUGCCAGCACAGCUUCCCAUGAUUUAUGAAGUUAAAAAAACCCACACAACCAAACACUACAAAGCAGACUUAAGGAAGAGCUGCAUUCCCUUCUCAGAGGAUUUGCUGGCUACGGUAUCACUGAGUUUUUGCAUGAAUACCUAAUAUGGGUUUGUGGUUUUUUUUUUUUGGGCGGGGGUGGGGGACAGGGUUUUGCGGUGUUGCCCAGGUUGGAGUGCAAUGGCAUAAUCAUAGCUCACUGCAGCCUCGAACUCCUGGGCUCAAGUGAUCCUUCUGCCUCAGCCUGCCGAGUAGCUGGGACUACAGGCGCACGUCACCAUGCCCAGCUAAUUUUUAAUUUUUUGUAGAGAAGGGGUCUCAUUAUGUUGCCCAGGCCAGUCUUGAACUCCUGGGCUCAAGUGAUCCUCCCAUCUCGGCCUCCUAAAGUGCUGGGAUUACAGGCGUGAGCCACUGCCCUUGGCCUUAUCUAAUUUGUUAUAAUUUUUGUGUGUAAAGAUUGAAAACAGCAAUUCCCUUAAUUCUGAUGUUUUUCUGUGCUCCCACCAAUUAUUCAUACAGGUGCCACAUGAAUUUUUGUGAAGUAUCCCAAGGUCUUCCCCAGUCAUCAUGUAGUACCCCACUCCCAACUCACACCCUGUUUGAGUUUCCUCAUCAGUACCCAUGAAAUGCUUAUUCUCACCUGUGGCAUUUGACCCAUGAACUCUUCUGAUAAUCUAUCCCAGACCCUUCGUGUGUAAAUCAAAGUGUAAUAUUCAUCACAUAUUUAUAUAGUCUCUCAUGCUUUUCAAAGCGCUUUAUGUCACUGGAGCCCCCUAAUAAUUCUUUACUGAAGGUAGUUAGGGUGUUAAACCUUUAUCUAAUAUUAUUCUAGGCCAGCCUGACUUUGUCUACAUUUCUCUAAGACCUAUAGUCAGUACCAUUUACCUUAAUGCGAUUAUGUGUUUUAUAGUGCUUUGAUUUUGAUUGUCUUAUACUUAUUUGUCUGACUGUCCCAGACUAAGCUGGAAGACCCAGAUCAAUCUUCCAAAUAUUAAGGGAGAAUUACCUUGCUACACUGAGACAGGCACUGUGGAGGAGAGCUAGUGAUACGGUUUGGAUCUGUGCCCCCACCCAAAUCUCAGGUCAACUAUAAUCCUCAAUGUCAGAGGUAUGGCCUGGUGGGAGGUGACUGGAUCAUGGGAGUGAUUUUUCAUGUAUGGUUCAGCACCAUCUCCUGGUGCUGCUCUAGUGAUGAGUGAGUUCUUGCGAGAUCGGGUUGUUUAAACGUGUGCAGCCCCCACCCCCUCGCUUCCUCCUGCUUCUGCCGUGUUUAUUGCUGCACCCUCUUUGCCUUCUACCAUGACUGAAAGCUCCCUGAGUCUUCCCCAGAAAUGGAGUAGAAGCCUCUAUGCUUCCUGUACAGCCUGCAGAACCGUGAGCCAAUUAGACUUCUUUUCUUUGUAAAUUACCCAGUCUCACGUAUUUCUGUAUGGCAGUAUGAGAACAGACUAAUACAGCAAGUGAACACACUUCUCAUUACUGCAUUGCCCAAGUACACUGCUGAGGAAGAGAGACACAUGUUUCAGCUUGAUUGUAUUUCUUUGUAGUAGUAAAAACAGAAAGAGUAAUUAUGACAGUAAUUAUUAUUUUGAUCUGUUACCAGAAAAAGUCAAAAACUGGUACUUCAGGUUAUUAUGGGUUCAACUUUAGGCUCUAUAAUUUAUACAUGGGUAUUAUAUCACAGAAUUGAAAUAAAGUAACAUCACAAUGGAAUUUAUAUAUUCCAAUCUAAACUAGAAAACAGCUGGGCACAGUGGCUCACACUUGUAAUCCCCAAGCUUUGGGGGAGGUUAAGGCGGGAGGAUCACUUGAGCCCAGGAGUUCAAGACCACCCUAGGAAACACUGUGAAACGCUGCCUCUACAAAAAAUACAAAAAAUUAGCCGGGCAUAGUGGUGUGUGCCUGUAGUCUCAACUACUUGGGAGGCUGGGGUAGACAGAUCGCUUGAGCCCAGGAGGUCGAGGCUACAGUGAGCCGUGAUUGUGUUAUGGCACCCCAGCCUAGGCGACAGAGCGAGACCCUGCCUCAAACAACUAGAAAACAUAUCCCUAAGUAAUCAAGCCUAUAUGUCUUUUAAAAGUAUCUAGUUAUGAUUAAUUGUUCCCAGAUUAGCCAAAAAGUAUAAAACAUAUUAUUGACGUUAACCAGAGAUCAUUUUUAAGUUUUGAAAAUUUGCCUAGUCUUGGAAGACAGCAAUAAACUUAACAUAAAGGGUCUUAGUUAUCUUUCUGUAUAAAAGUUAAAGUAUAAGGACUCAAUAUUAAAUCCUAAGAAAUUACAUCCAAUAUCAAAUUCCUAUCAGAACCUGCUACUUGGUUACCUGACAAAUCUGAAUCACUCACUCACGUGUCCACUCUAACUCCAGCCAGCGGCUGGCUCUGACUAGAAACUCAGACACCAUAGCAGGUUGGCUGUAAUGACUUCCCUGUAUUCACGUGCUCUGGUCUUGCCUGCAGGUAUUAAAUGACUAAUCCAGAUCCCCAGCACCACAUCAAGGCUCAUUAAUUACAGGCAACACUGCAAUUACUAUAACAAUCACUCACAGCGUCAACAACCACCAAAGAGCUGCGCGGAGGGAACUGAGAGGUGAAGAAAGCUAUCCAGGGCCGCUAAUCAGCCUGAGAUCCCAGACGGCUUGUUUCUAAAGCUGGUGUCAAACAUUUACUCAGCUCUGCUCUGUGUCGGGCAAAGGCAGGCUUGGGGUAGGAGCACCCACAUCAGGACCACUCGGGUUUCUUUUAAGCCUGUGCUCAGGUUCCCGCUGGAGCCCAGUACACGUGACUGAGCACGAAGGCUGUUAAUCAUUUCCUUUGCUGCCUGAAUAGAGGCGAGCAAUUACUCCAAACUCCUGCCUUAUGUCUGGGGCGCAUUAUUAAAUAAACUUUGAUCAACAUGAAUUCUAUUCCAUACUUUGCAAGAAAAAUGCUAUAGUUGGGUGACUAGAAAGCAUCACAUUUUCAGGAAUUUUCCCAAGUAACCUGACUAGUUUUCUUUUCUAAUUACUCUUGCCCUCAACAGUCUGGUAGAUGACAUUUGAGAUAGCACAGCAUAUUCUGUCCUUGACACUGCUUGACAGCACAAAGAAAUCUGGCACUUUGCAAUGAAUUAUUAAUGUGCACAAAUAUUGUAGCAUGUAUGAGAUAGAGACCAGCAAAAGGUGAAGUGCUAGUUGCCAUGACACCAGUCAGUUCAAGCUAAGGUUCAUAAUCUUUAACUUUGUCUCAAAGAGUCGUCAGAAGAACAUAAAGGGCAAAUCUGAAACACACAGCCAAACGGCUUUGGUAUAGAUUAAUGCCUGUGACGCAUGGGUGGAUCUGAGAGGGCAGCACAGAUAAUUUGCUGACCAAUAGGACUGCUGUGUUACAUCAAGUAUAAGGAUGGAUAGAUCAGGAGUUAUCAUCUAGUAAAGGGGUCUCUAAAUGCAGUACAUGUGCUCAGUCUCCAGAGUGAGCUGGUGCCCAUGCUGGUUGGCAAGGUUUGCUAGAUGCUAAAUGUAAGUCAGAGAAUUGCACUCUAUUGCAGUGUCCUCUUUACUGUCUAAAAAACAGAAGAGGACAUCAAGUUCUUCAGCAGGAAAAUAUGGUUGACUCUUGAUCUAGGGGGUCUCAAAGUCAGUAACCAAUAUAUGAAACAGGAAGUUUACAGAAUUUAGAGUUGGAAGGGGCCUAGGGAUUUUCUUAUUUGCAAAAGAGAAAACUUUUAAUAACUGACUUUGGCUAUUAAAUGUAGAGCUAGAACUUUGACUACCAUGAUUAAUUUGAUCACAAGAUUCCAAUACCAUAUUCUGCUACCAGCUGACAGGGUUGCUGUGUGAUUAAAAAAAAAAAGGGAAGGACAUUCAAAUGGACACUGACAUUCCUAUGAAACAUGCUUAACAAGUCUAAUAUCUCCUUAGCUCCUCAGGGUUCCUCUUCAAAGCACUGGGCACUUUGAAAGAUAACUGUAAAGGUCACAUUUGUAAUAUAAGCAAGAACUUCUUAAACAGACAUGUAAGUAACUGCACAUAGACGUGACAUGUCAUAGCUCGAGAAAUCUUUUAAAGUAAAGUUUACGCCAAAUUAACUUCCAACAGCUCCGACUCUCCAGACCAUUCUUGGUACUCUUAAUGACAGACUGUGCAGCCCAAAGCCUGCAGCUGCAGUGUCAGGACAAAUUAGCCUAAAGUGGAACAAAAGUCAAUGUGAAGAAAUGUGGUAUCCGGCAAGGUCUGACUUUUGAAAUUCUGAGAUUGAUGACAUUUUAAAGGUGUAGGUACAACAGAAUGUGUUUUCCAUAUUUGUAAGCAAUUCUAGGUUCCUGAGCACUGAGAGAAAAGCAAAGUUAAUUUCUCACCGUAGGAGAAGGCCUUAUUAUUUUUGUGCACAUACACGACUGUCCUGUGAUCAAGAAAAGGCAUCUUUUAAAAGAAUCGUUUUGAAAUGUUUAUCUCUUAUUUGAAAUCCAAGAAAGAGUAGACAUUCAUUUCCAAACAGGACCAUAAAUCAUAUAACGCUGGGAGAAAGGUCAACACCACCAGCACAGCACAGUUUUCUCACAUAUGCUUAAGGAUUUUCAGAAUCUCCAAAUAAUAGCAUGAUGUAAACUUUGAAUAAAAAAGAACACCAUCAAGACUCCACUGAACAAAGAACGUCUGACUGGAAAUGCUUACGGCACCCUUCACAUGGUUGGGCAACUUUCCUCUACUGUUCCACCCCUUCUGCCUGUGCAGCUGCCAGAGUUAACUUAUCUUUAUCAGAAUCACAAAGGAACACUCUCCUGCUUAUUUACAAGGCUAAAAUGACAUCUGGUGGCGCUCUUCUCUGAGAACUCAGUCACUGUUCCUGGAAAAUGAUGCAAAAGCACAAACUUUUGCAGGGCAACUGUAGGAGUAUUCUUGUGCGUGUGUGUUAAGUACUAACUGCUGAUGUUGCUCAAAUGUUCCGCUAGUCCCUGUAGCCUCACAAUGUUUUAUUCAUUGUCCUGUGAUCAAUUCAAAAAAGCCAUCUUUUAUAAGAAUGGUUUUGAAGUGUUUAUCUUUUAUUUGAACAUCCAAGAAAGAGUAGACAUUGACUUCCACAGGGGACCAUACCUCCUAUAAUGCCUGAAGGUGCUUAAAAUAUAGUGAACUGUGUUAAAGUUAAUAGGAUACAUCAUUAGUGUGUUAAAAAAUGUAAAAUGGUGACAUACUAUCAGCUCACCUGGGUAAGGAAAAUAUGGCUAAAGUACCUCUAAAGGUAUCUACUUAUUAAGUAUACUGACCAAACUUUAGACAUUUUACUUCGACCACAGAAAGUAUUAUUUGAAAAAAAAAUCUUCAUUACAAAAUUACAUAUUUAAUUAGGAAGUAAAACCUAAAUCUGUAUUUACUAGCAAUGCCAACUUUAAAUAUUCUAGUUGCAGCUGACAACAGAAAUUCUAACAUGCAUAUGUUGUUGCAUAAUAGCCUCUUUUUCCUAGUUGGGUAUGUUUGUAGAGACAGAAAGGUCCCCUGACCAAUUGUGCAAUAGAGCCCCAAGAUACUUAAGCCUGGAACUACUCUCUCAGACUUAACAAAAUGUUCAUCUUAAUUUCUAUCAGAUUGGGACAAAACAUUCACUCUUUAGAUAAUAGAGGAGAGACUAAAGAACAUGUCAUAAUAGUCAAAUUUGUGCCAAUGUUAAAUCUAUCCCUUUAAAAACAUGUAUUAUUGUGAGGCCGCAGGGAUUAGUGCAACAUUUGAACAGAAUCAGCAGUUAGUACUUAACACACAUGCACAAGAAUACUCCUACAGUUGCCCUGCAACCAAGAAGCUAAUAAAAGAGCCAGGCUUUUCAAAUGAACACCUCGAUGAUGACACCAUUAGUUAUUCAGCAAAAAUAAAUGCUUCAUUAACUUGUCUUCCCACUGUUAAAGGAUAGGAUGAAUUUACCUCAAGGCAGCAACUCAGAUAUUAACGUUCCCUUACAUUUUAGAGCUCACUAUGCAGAAAUACCAGAAAUAAGGUGACUUAAAACUCAAUUUGUCUGUAAAAUACACUGGCCUUUGGAAUCCAGAAACCCACUUGGUCCUGACUGCCAAUUACUUGACCUUCCUUUUGUUACUUGACCUCUCUGGAUCUUGACUAAACUCAUUUGUGAGACAAGAGGAGAUGUCCAAAGUUUUUUCAUCUCAAAUAUGUUACGAUUUAGAUUCAACAAUUAUUUUUCCAAUUCCUACCACACACCCCGAAUACUGAGGUCACGCUGAGGUAUUAUUUGCCUAAGACUCUCGUAAAUGACUCAAUAAGGGAUCAACUCCAUUAGUGCAGUGGCCAGCAUUGAGUGAUCAGCAAAAAUAUCUCAUUGAGUAUUUCUAUGAUGUCACGGCUGUGCCUUUUAACAUAAUGUAACUUGAAUGUAUGCCUCUUAUCUAUUAAAAAAAUUACAAAUUAUUUGAAACAAUCAUCCUUCUUCCGUUUUACUUGAGUCCAUGGAGGCUCAAUGUGUUAAACAAUGAAUGCUGAACAGUGUUUCUGAAAUGCUGUUUUCCCUCAUCUUUCCCCUGCCGGGCCCUAGAUGAUCAAACGAGUGUUUGAUGAUCUCCUUCAGCCUCAGGCCCCUCCCCCUAUUUAAUAACUCUUUAUGGAAUAAUGAAAAUAACCCACAAAAUUGCAGCCAAAUAGCUUGCCAAACAACAGGCUGUCAUUGAUCUCUUUGCUUUGCCCCAAACUCAAACUGCUUCUCAGAAAUUGUAAUAAAGACAGAUCUUCCAAAGGGCAGAGGCUUCGGUUCUGCUCUAGUGACCAGUAACUACUUCCAUGACGCAUAAACACAUGCAUGCGAGCUUAGCCACUGCUCCGGCCAUCUGCAGUGGCAGACUUCUUAGCCCCUGUUCCAACAGCACAGCUCUCAAUGUCCCCAUCAUCAACCCCUGUAAUUCCUAAGUGUAAAUAGUUCAAAUUCUUCCCUGCUUUCUAGUUUGCUUACUGUGAAAUCUUUAAAAAGUUAAAAUCUUUACAUAAAUGAAGGGUAAAUAUAUUCAAGAGAUUACACCUGAAAACUUAUUCUGUUUUUAAACAUGCACUGUUAGAACUUAGAAUUCACUCAACACAUAUGAGGGUCUAUGAGGUACCUACAUUGGGAUAGGCAUUGUUAAAAAACAAAAAUAAGUAUUUGUGAACCUCUUAAAGGAUUUUAAAGAUUGCAGAUGGCAACUUUCCUAUAAAUCAGUGGUUUGGUACAUUAGAAUCACCUGGGAAGCUUUUCCUCCUGGUGUUCAGGUCACCUCUCAGACCAAUUAUACCAGAAUCUCCAAUGGGAGAAUCAGGCAUCAGGAGGCAACGUCCCUCAGGUGGUUCCCAUUUGUAGCUGAGUUUGGGAACCAGUGCUCUAGAACAGCGUUUCUCAAUCUCAGCACCAUUACAUUUGGGGCUGGGUAAUUUUAAGCCAUAGGAUUGCCCUAUGCAUGGAAGGAUGUUGAAGCAGCAUCCCUGACCUCUCUCCACUAGAUGCCAGCAGCAGCUCCACCAGUCUGACAAGAAAAAUGUCUCCAGAUGUUACCAAUGUUUCCUGGGGGCAAAAUCACCCACAUGAGAACUACUCACUAGAAAGAACAUGUACAUUAGGAAAGGAAGUCCCGUAUACUCCAGUGAUGAUUGUCCCUUAAGUUUUCAUUCUCAUAUUGUAAUGACAUUUUCCAGGUUUGGAAUAUAUUUGGGGCUGGAAAUUGAAAAAAAAAAAAAAAAAGGCAACAACUUAAAUAUGGACUCAAAACUUCAUCACUUUUAGUUUCUAUACUUCAAACCACCACUCCACCAUGAAAUUAAGAAGUACCUUUGAAGGACAAUAAUACUGAUCCAACAAGUCUGAUAUAUUCUAGCUACCUCACAGAGGAACAAUAUUGAAAUGUCAUAGAAGAUGACACCAAUCACUUACCAAUCACAACUCUGGUUAAACCACCGAAAAUAUCAUUACUAAAUUAUGAGAACUGAAAAAAGAAAACUUCCUUUUAAGGACAACAAAUAUACAUGAGACACCAUUCCUUCCAUUAUCCAGCAAUGCCACACAGUUCUUCACUGGCCGGCCCUGACUUUCUGCUGUGGUGCUUAGGGCUGUGAAAACUCCACCCUGGGCAGAGCAACCAUUCAGACACUGGACCUGAAUCAAAAUUUAAAAAAUAAACCUAGAUCAGAGUGGGCCCCAGAGUGCGUGGUCUGACAUCUUCCUAGGUACAAGAUUCCUAAAGGGCUGGUUAGCUCAGGAAAAAAAAAGUGUGUGUAUGUGGGUAAGGGGGAGAUGGAAUAUUGAAAAAGUGGGAAGAGUAGUUCCUCUUCAAACUUUGGCGCACAUGCGUGUAGGAAUCACCUGGGCUCUGAAUCAAAUGCAGACUCAGAUUCAGUAGUUAGGUGGUGCUGCUGUGGCUGCUCGGGACUACAAGCCGAGAAGAAGGUUCUAGAGUGAGCCUGAGCAAUCUGUCUACUCCCAACCUCACGUGGCUUCAGAUCAACUCUCCUAAGAGUUCAGUGAAACAGGCAAUAUAAUUGAUCCUCUUUCUGUUCCCAGUGCCUCCUACCCCUAGCAUUUAUCAGGUAAAGCCUGGUUCAAAUCAAUGCCAAGAGCCCCUAGUGCAAGAGCCCCUAGUAUGAAUGACCAUGGGACUUUGUGGACUGACUCUAUGUCUAUUUACCUUGGAUCCAUUUUUAGCACUAGCAAGCCACCCAAUCCCAUUAGAACAAAGUUUGUAAAGAAGAAACCUAAAAGACUUCAAAUCCUUCCCUCUGCAUCCACAGAGGCUUUGAAGGCUUAGCUUUCAAGACAGGGACUGUAGACUCCGUCAGCCUUGGCACUUACCUCACUGGCUUUCCAACUUUACCUUGGACAAGUGAACCAUAGAGGCUUUUAUACUAUGGUAAGCCUGUGAGAAAACCUCAUUUAGGGAAUAAUUACCCCUUUAUAGAUCACAUGCUUGGACUAUAAGUUUGGACACUACCAGUGGCCCAAAGUGCACAAUUUUGAAAAUCCAUGAUUAACAUUUCAAAGGCAAAGCUUAUGAAGCUAUCUGGAAUUCUGAUCCCAUAAGAAUAUUAUAUAACAGAAUAAAGGUUUUACAUUUUGUUAGGAGAUAAGCUAACAAAAUGAACUAAACUAAAAC